rnacentral:tRNA from 1 species
UGCAUCGGCAGGGAAUCGAACCCGGGCCGCCCGCGUGGCUGGCGAGCAUUCUACCACUGAACCAACGAUGG